rnacentral:misc_RNA from 1 species
AAUUUUGGUAUAUCAUAAUCUGCAUUUAUGAUAUUGAUUUUGUUGAGUCUGGCACAAGUUAAAUCCUUGAUUGCAUUAGUUGAAACACCCUGCUGUUAGAAUAAUAUCCUCUGUUUAUGCUCAUUAUGUAAUACGCAUGAAAUUAAUAAGGAACCAGUGAUCAACCAAAAUUAAUUGCUGGUUGCCUCCUAUGGUAGGCGGUUGCUGUCAAAAGAAAACCA